rnacentral:rRNA from 1 species
GUUGGAUACCACGGAAACUGUGGCUAAUACCAGAUAUUGAAAGAAUUCUGGAAUGAAUCUUUCGCUAAACGCAAGGCCUAAGGAUGAGUCGGCGGCGGAUUAGGCAGUUGGCGGUGUAACGGACCACCAAACCAAAGAUCCGUAGGGGCCAUGAAAGGGGUAGCCCCGAGAGGGACACUGAAAUACUGGUCCCAGCUCCACGGAGUGCAGCAGGCGCGUAACCUCCACAAUGCGCGAAAGCUGGAUGGGGGGAUCCCGAGUGCUUACAUUUAUUGUAAGCUUUUGCCAAGGGUAAAUACCUUGGAGAAUAAGUGGUGGGAAAGACCGGUGCCAGCAGCCGCGGUAACCCCGGCGCCACAAGUGGCAAUCUUGUAUUUGGCCUAAAGCAUUCGUAGCCGGCUUAAUAAAUCCUUUGUGAAAUCGUUGAACUCAAUGCAACGGCGUGCAGGGGACACUGUUAAGCUUGAGACUGGGAGGAGUUAGGGGUAUGCCUAGGGGAGCGGUUAAAUGUGAUAAUCCUAGGUAGACCACCUGUGGCGAAGGCGCCUAACUAGAACAGUUCUGACGGUGAGGGAUGAAAGCUAGGGGAGCGAUCCGGAUUAGAUACCCGAGUAGUCCUAGCUGUAAACUCUGCGAGCUAGGUGUCGCAUAUUCUACGAGAAUGUGCGGUGUCGAAACGAAGGUGAUAAGCUCGCCGCCUGGGAAGUACAGUCGCAAGACUGAAACUUAA